ACUCCUACGGGGAGGCAGCAGUAGGGAAUUUUUCGCAAUGGACGGAAGUCUGACGGAGCAAUGCCGCGUGAGGGGAAGAAGGUUUUCGGAUUGUAAACCUCUGUUGUAAGGGAAGAACGACUAUAGAAGGGAAUGUCUAUAGAGUGACGGUACCUUACCAGAAAGGGACGGCUAACUACGUGCCAGCAGCCGCGGUAAUACGUAGGUCCCGAGCGUUAUCCGGAAUUAUUGGGCGUAAAGGGCACGUAGGCGGUACAAUAAGUUUGAUGUCAAAUACAACGGCCCAACCGUUGAAAGGCGUUGAAAACUGUUGAACUAGAAUCUUGGAGAGGUAAGUGGAAUUUCAUGUGUAGCGGUGGAAAUGCGUAGAUAUAUGAAGGAACACCAAUGGCGAAGGCAGCUUAACUGGACAAAGAUUGACGCUGAGGUGCGAAAGCGUGGGUAGCAAACGAGGAUUAGAUACCCGUGGUAGCGACUGA
rnacentral:rRNA from 1 species